UUACAACGUUUCUUAAUAUUACCUUUUCAUCUCCAUCUCCCACGUUCUCAUUCUCUCUAUUUUUCCACUCUCUGCCUCCCACACUUGAUCCACUCAAGAAAAAACAAAAUACCCACAAAACCCUUAACCCAACAGGAACCCUUAUCGCAAGCUGCAUCAUUCCUUCCAAACCUUCCCACAAGUUGCAAUCGUUCUUUUCAAGCCUUCUCACAAGGUGUAAUUGUUUAUUCCUUUCUAGGGUUUCGGCAUUUAGGGUCUCUCAUACAGUGUUGUAUUGGACGCGGUGUUACUAGCUAAGAAUCGUAUAGGCUUUAAAGUUGCUAUUCAUACUGUUUCUGUCUCCGGCGAUGGUGGAGUUUAGCCACUGUUGCUGCACUUGUUGGGCAGCAUUUGGUGAGGAAGCUAAUUGCCUUAUUAGGGAGAGAUUCAAUCAUCAUUUUCAUCCUUGCCCUCACAGUUUUUGUUAGUAGAAUAUCACUAGGCAAGUGUUAUUAAUUUGUUUGAUUUGCUUUAUUUGUUAUAUAUGAGUACCCUCUUCGUAAUUAUGACUAGCAAAAUAUGUUUUAUUUUAUUGAAUUAUAAAAAAAAGUUAGAGAAAAAUCAAAACAAAUAUUAAUCACUACUAGUUGUUAAAGAAUAUUGGUACACUUCUUUGAUUCUCUAAGUUUGUGUAUGUUUUUAAAAUCUGAGAAAGCAAAGCAACGUAGAGCGUCAGAAAGGGGAGAUGCUAAUCAUAGAGCCGAAAACAUUAGUAUUGCUGAUCAUGCUGAUCGGAUGACUGUGGCUAAGAGAAGAACAUCAUUAAUGCAAGAGCUUCACGAGAGGACUUAUUGAGGAAAAGAUGGAGAGUAUUGCGACGACCGUGCUAGAGAUACUCAAGCGGAGUACCAAAGGUUGAUGAUGGUGGAGUUUUUAGCUAAACAUCCUGAGUUAGGUGGUCCACGGGGACGAUAUCCUCUUGAUCUAGCUAUGGAUCAAUAUUUGUGGUUGAAAGGAAAUAAGGAAAGGAAUAGAAAUGGAAAAAUUUAUGUUACUGGACCUUUAGCUGACAACAACAAAAAAGAUGAUAUGUAUUCUUUAUUAAGGAGAAUUGCAGACGGGGAAGCAUCUUCACGUCCUUCGACAUUAAUUAACCCCUGAAAUAACUGAAACAAUUAGACAACUAGCUCAGAGUGAAGCAUCACGUGAAAAUGAAACAUUGAGAAAAAAGCAAAUGGAGUUGGAGGAAGCAUUGAUACUUUCACAAGAGCAAAUAAGGCUUACACAACAACAAAUUCAACAACAAGUGCAACAACAAAUACAACAACAAAUGCAACAAUUAUUUCAACAACAAUAUGGUGGUGGUGGAUUUGGAGCGAUUGGUAACCAAGGAGUGGUAGACGAGUAUGAUGAAGAAAACGAAAAUAAUGCGGACAUCUCAAAU